rnacentral:rRNA from 1 species
AGAGUUUGAUCAUGGCUCAGGAUGAACGCUAGCUACAGGCUUAACACAUGCAAGUCGAGGGGCAGCGGGAUUGAAGCUUGCUUCAAUUGCCGGCGACCGGCGCACGGGUGAGUAACGCGUAUCCAACCUUCCGUACACUCAGGGAUAGCCUUUCGAAAGAAAGAUUAAUACCUGAUGGUAUGAUGAAAUUGCAUGAUAGCAUCAUUAAAGAUUUAUCGGUGUACGAUGGGGAUGCGUUCCAUUAGGUAGUAGGCGGGGUAACGGCCCACCUAGCCUACGAUGGAUAGGGGUUCUGAGAGGAAGGUCCCCCACAUUGGAACUGAGACACGGUCCAAACUCCUACGGAGGCA